rnacentral:lncRNA from 1 species
CGCCUCUGACAUCACUGGUGCUUUUGUGAUGCAAACCUCCACGUUGUCUAAGCACAGGAGGGGCCCCUGGAUCUGUGUGUCCCUGUUACUGUGCACACCCACGAAAUGGGACACGCAGAUGCGCCCACGCAGGACUAAAUGAAUAACUGGCUAAAACGCCUUCCAUUCCUAGCGUAAGAACCCAACAGACAGAGGAGGAGGCUCGCGGGCGGACGUCGCCUGGGCAGAGCCAGAAGGAACCGCAGGGAGGGAAGCCCGGUCGGCGUCACCCCCGCGGCGCAGGGAAGCCCGGCACGGGAUGCUGCCCGGGUCUGGACAUUUGGAAGCAGGUGUUCCCCGUGACAAUCCCGCUUCCUGCUCCUCAUUCGGAGACGCGUCACCUUCGUCUCGACCCAGGCCCUCCUCCAGGCUGUCCCCAGCUCCUUGCACAGCUGCCCCUUCUCACCUUCCAGGACUCUGUCAGGUGUCACGUCCACAGGGGCCCCCGACUCCCCUGUCCACGGUCACCCCCUCCACCCAGGCCCCUCCCAGCAGGCCUCUGUUUACCCUUCUGGAUACCACUCACCACCAUCGGAAGUGACCCCGAGGGCAUGUUUCCUUGGCGUCAUCUCCCUCGCCCCCUCUUGAGNCUCCAAGGCCUCAGGAACCCACCUGUCCUGCUAAGCCCCGUGUGCCCUGCACCUGCUGCAGCACCUCACCCAGAAGCACUGGCCGGCUGGAAUUUAGACCAGGUGGCUUGGCCACCUGGAUGA